UGGAUUCCUACAACAUGAUGAAUCACAAAGUUCCCCUCUCCAUUUUGUGCCAGCUCACCCAAUCCACCCUUUGGAGCAGAGCAAGCCAGGGACCUACUGCACAGUCUACGCCUUUGUGAGACAGAAUUAGAGAAAGAAGACGAGCUGCCGACGCGCUCUGGAACAUACAAAUGGGCGUCUGGAUGCUUUUCUGACAGCAAGCCGUUAUGGAUGGGGGUGAAAGCUUGAAUGCAUUCCUCCUCUCAAUGGUUUCUCGGCGAAGACUAUGGAAAUAUCCACGCCCAAUCUUCACGGAGUGGAUCAAAUGCCUGCCAGAAAGGAUGAGACGUCAAACAAUGGCAGCGCAUAAGCAGUGCUCCCCAAUCACUCUCCUUUGGGCCCACUUGGCUCUGUUUUAUCUGCCUUUAAAGAUUCUUUCACCAAUACAAAAUAAACCAGACCCAAAGGCUGGGUGGA